rnacentral:rRNA from 1 species
UUAGACCUACGGGGCGCAGCAGUGGGGGAUAUUGCACAAUGGGGGGAACCCUGAUGCAGCGACGCCGCGUGGGUGAAGGAGCGUUUCGGCGCGUAAAGCCCUAUCGGCAGGGAAGAAGAUGACGGUACCUGACCAAGAAGCCCCGGCUAACUACGUGCCAGCAGCCGCGGUAAUACGUAGGGGGCCAGCGUUAUCCGGAUUUACUGGGUGUAAAGGGGGCGCAGACGGCAAUGCAAGCCAGGAGUGAAAGCCCGGGGCCCAACCCCGGCACUGCUCUUGGCA